rnacentral:rRNA from 1 species
GAUAAGCAUAUCAAUAAGCGGAGGAAAAGAAACCAACAGGGAUUGCCCUAGUAACGGCGAGUGAAGCGGCAACAGCUCAAAUUUGAAAUCUGAUCUCUUCGAGGUCCGAGUUGUAAUUUGUAGAGGGCGCUUUGGUGUUGGCUGCGGUCUAAGUUCCUUGGAACAGGACGUCAUAGAGGGUGAGAAUCCCGUCUGUGGUCGCAUGUCUUCACCGUGUAAAGCCCCUUCGACGAGUCGAGUUGUUUGGGAAUGCAGCUCUAAAUGGGAGGUAAAUUUCUUCUAAAGCUAAAUACUGGCCAGAGACCGAUAGCGCACAAGUAGAGUGAUCGAAAGAUGAAAAGCACUUUGGAAAGAGAGUCAAACAGCACGUGAAAUUGUUGAAAGGGAAGCGCUUGCAGCCAGACUUGUUUGCAGUUGCUCAUCCGGGCGCUCGCCCGGUGCACUCUUCUGUAGGCAGGCCAGCAUCAGUUUGGGCGGUUGGACAAAGGCCUCUGUCAUGUAUCUUCUCCGGAAGACCUUAUAGGGGAGGCGUAAUGCAACCAGCCUGGACUGAGGUCCGCGCAUCUGCUAGGAUGCUGGCGUAAUGGCUGUAAGCGGCCCGUCUUGAAACACGGACCAAGGAGUCUAACAUCUAUGCGAGUGUUUGGGUGUCAAGCCCGAGCGCGCAAUGAAAGUGAACGGAGGUGGGAACCUUASGGUGCACCAUCGACCGAUCCUGAUGUCUUCGGAUGGAUUUGAGUAAGAGCAUAGCUGUUGGGACCCGAAAGAUGGUGAACUAUGCUUGAAUAGGGUGAAGCCAGAGGAAACUCUGGUGGAGGCUCGCAGCGGUUCUGACGUGCAAAUCGAUCGUCAAAUUUGGGCAUAGGGGCGAAAGACUAAUCGAACUAUCUAGUAGCUGGGUCCUGCCGA